ACCUAGCCCUGAUAGAAGCGACAUCCUUUUGUCCGCCACGGCGGAUAAAAGAUAUAGCGGAUAGCGGGAUUAGCU
rfam:Flavobacterium sp. ov086 genome assembly, contig: Ga0070134_101